rnacentral:rRNA from 1 species
CAGCAGCCGCGGUAAUACGUAGGGUGCAAGCGUUAAUCGGAAUUACUGGGCGUAAAGCGUGCGCAGGCGGUUCUAUAAGACAGAUGUGAAAUCCCCGGACUCAACCUGGGAACUGCAUUUGUGACUGUAGAGCUGGAGUGCGGCAGAGGGGGAUGGAAUUCCGCGUGUAGCAGUGAAAUGCGUAGAUAUGCGGAGGAACACCGAUGGCGAAGGCAAUCCCCUGGGCCUGCACUGACGCUCAUGCACGAAAGCGUGGGGAGCAAACAGGAUUAGAGACCCGCGUAGUCCCUGUCUUUAUACA